rnacentral:lncRNA from 1 species
UUUAUAAAUUUAAAACUUUAUAAUAAAAUAUUAAAAAUGAAACCCAGAGUGAAGAUACAACAGAAUUUGGAUAAGCUUCUUAACGUUAUUUUUAAAUAUUAUAAACAGGAAUCUUCCGACUGUGGAAGAACAAAGAAGUAAUGAUAUUAAUAAUGAACCACACCAGGAAUAGCUUCUGAUAUUAAGUGGAAACCAGAACGUGGGACAUCUUUUGAUACUGUUUAAACACCCACUAAGCGGAUUUCAGGACCUACUAAUGAAGGCAUUGCCCAAGGUCACACAGCGAGCCAGAGGUGAAAGGGAAGCCAGAAGCAGAUGUCGCGGCCUCUAGUCCAUCCGGGCGCUCUCCCUGCCCUGUCCCCGGGCCGAGUCCAGUUUAGGCUGGGUGACUGCUCAUCCCAGAGAGCGCAGCCCAGGAAACAGUGGGAGGUGGAGGACGUGGAGCUUGGAUGGGGCCGGGAAUCCCCCAGGCUUGAGCGGGAUGGGCCACAGCCCUCUUUUCCCCCCACUGGUGAAACCCUGCUGAGGAAUUAAGUCAAUAUACAGAAAAUCACAGCCAAGAGCUGGAGAGAGAAAGAGAGCUCUGACAUCAUCAUUGAGCACCUGGAUCCAGCCAUACCUGAAGCCAGUGCCUCUACAGUGUUUACAUACGUUAGCUAAUAUUUCUUUUUAACUUAAGCUCAUUUGAAUUGGCUUUCUGUCUCAUUCUUUUGGUUAAAAGAAUUCUGACUCACACAGCUAGUAAAGGGCA